rnacentral:rRNA from 1 species
CCUACGGGAGGCAGCAGUGAGGAAUAUUGGUCAAUGGACGAGAGUCUGAACCAGCCAAGUAGCGUGAAGGAUGACUGCCCUAUGGGUUGUAAACUUCUUUUAUAUGGGAAUAAAACGUUCCACGUGUGGGAUUUUGUAUGUACCAUAUGAAUAAGGAUCGGCUAACUCCGUGCCAGCAGCCGCGGUAAUACGGAGGAUCCGAGCGUUAUCCGGAUUUAUUGGGUUUAAAGGGAGCGUAGGUGGAUUGUUAAGUCAGCUGUGAAAGUUUGCGGCUCAACCGUAAAAUUGCAGUUGAAACUGGCAGUCUUGAGUACAGUAGAGGUGGGCGGAAUUCGUGGUGUAGCGGUGAAAUGCUUAGAUAUCACGAAGAACUCCGAUUGCGAAGGCAGUUCACUGGACUGCAACUGACACUGAGGCUCGAAAGUGUGGGUAUCAAACAGGAUUAGAUACCCGAGUAGUC